rnacentral:rRNA from 1 species
GACGAACGCUGGCGGCGUGCUUAACACAUGCAAGUCGAACGGAAAGGCCCUGCUUUUGUGGGGUGCUCGAGUGGCGAACGGGUGAGUAACACGUGAGUAACCUGCCCUUGACUUUGGGAUAACUUCAGGAAACUGGGGCUAAUACCGGAUAGGAGCUCCUGCUGCAUGGUGGGGGUUGGAAAGUUUCGGCGGUUGGGGAUGGACUCGCGGCUUAUCAGCUUGUUGGUGGGGUAGUGGCUUACCAAGGCUUUGACGGGUAGCCGGCCUGAGAGGGUGACCGGCAGCAGUGGGAACGGGCACCUGCCCGGGCGCCGACUGGAGGCGGGCGUCGGGGGUAGGGAUCGAGGGGCUGUGGCUGUAUGCAGCAGCGCAGCGUGGGAGAGGGUGGGCUGAGGGGUGGAGAGGGGGUCAGCCUGUAACGGAGGGAGAGGCAGGGGAAUGGAGAAAGGAGCAGGGGGGAAGGGCGGG